AAAAAAAAAAAAAAAAGAAAAAAGAAAGAGCAGACAAGAACAAAGUGAAAGCUUCUAAUCAGCCAGUUGGAGUCAGAAAAGGGCAUAUGUGGUUUGAAGAGCCUCUUCUGAACUAAGGCAUAUAUUCAUAGUGGCAAGAGUUAAUUAUCUAUCCAACAUGGACUGACCUUCAUGAGCAGAAGUAACAAGAGACAAAUAGUGGUAGAUGAUGAGUAUAAAUGCUUACUUGGAUCAAGGCCAGUAACCAUGGCAGCACCCUUGAAGUAGCAGCUUCCCCCUUUGUGCUUGUACUUCUGAUAGUAAUUGUUGAAGGCAUAAGAAGCAUGAUCCCUGACAGUGUCUGGGGAGAAGCAAGCCUGGCCCUUCUGAAUCUUGCUGCAAUCUGCUCCCCCUUUGCCGCAAGCCCAGUCCAGCGCGAUUUGCAGCUCGCUGUCUGGUGUCUGCUCAUCAGCAAUGCACCACUGCUCAAACUGCCCAUCUGAGGAAAUAUUUGACACACAAACAGAUUCAUGAGGCUGGCAUUCUGGCAUUGAGUAGAUUGGUUAAAACAACAUUCUUUAAUGAUCUUAGUUACCUGAUUUGAUGGGAAUGAGGGUGACAAGAAGCAGAGGAAGCAGAAACCUUAGCAUAGUACUCAUUGCCAUACUUCUUUGUUCAGGCUAAGGUUUUGGGGGGAUGAUAAGGCUAUCUCCUUGGUCUGUUAGUUGGUUCUUAAAAAGCUUCACACUUGUCUGAAAGUUUUUUUUUUUUUUUUUUGGGUGUGUGGGAUUCACAUGCAUGGCAUUGGGCAUUGGCAUAUAGUCCAAAGAGAUGGCAGUAAUGAAGCUGCUUUAAUUGGAUCCAAAUUAUGGCCAGCUAGGGUUUUGCCACUUUGUGAUGAACCCAUUGUGUUUUACAAAUUUUAAUAAGAUAUAAGGAAUCUGCCGUAAUCUUAGGGCAUAUGUCAA